AUGGCGACCGGCGCACGGGUGAGUAACACGUAUCCAACCUGCCGAUGACUCGGGGAUAGCCUUUCGAAAGAAAGAUUAAUACCCGAUGGCAUAGUUCUUCCGCAUGGUAGAACUAUUAAAGAAUUUCGGUCAUCGAUGGGGAUGCGUUCCAUUAGCUUGUUGGCGGGGUAACGGCCCACCAAGGCAUCGAUGGAUAGGGGUUCUGAGAGGAAGGUCCCCCACAUUGGAACUGAGACACGGUCCGAACUCCUACGGAAGGCAGCAG
rnacentral:rRNA from 1 species